AGGACGAACGCUGGCGGCGUGCUUAACACAUGCAAGUCGAGCGGAAAGGCCACUUCGGUGGUACUCGAGCGGCGAACGGGUGAGUAACACGUGAGUAAUCUGCCCUUCACUUGGGGAUAACUACCGGAAACGGUGGCUAAUACCCGAUACGACAGCUCCUCGCAUGAGGUGGUUGUGGAAAGUUUUUUCGGUGGAGGAUGUGCUCGCGGCCUAUCAGCUUGUUGGUGGGUAAUGGCCUACCAAGGCUUCGACGGGUAGCCGGCCUGAGAGGGUGACCGGCCACACGUGGGACUGAGACACGGCCCAGACUCCUACGGGAGCAGCAGUGGGAAUAUGGACAAGUGGGCGGAAGCCUGAUCCAGCAACGCCGCGUGAGGAUGACGGCCUUGGGUUGUAAACCUCUUUCAGUAGGACGAAGCGCAAGUGACGGUACUACAGAAGAGCACCGGACCAACUACGUGCCAGCAGCCGC
rnacentral:rRNA from 1 species